UGAUCAAGUCCCUAAUUAUUAUUACCUGGAUCUUCCUAAUAACUAGGGUUCCCUCCCCAGGAGGGGUAUCCUUUGUGAGAGAGGGUACCAGCACAUCGUCUUUAAGGAGGGUCCCAACUAUGGGAUGGUUUCCCUCCACUCCAGAUUCAUGUUCUCCUUCUACGUGACUUUCAUCCUCCUCAACAGCACAGAAUCUGUCAGACUGGGGGUGGGUGGGAGUGCUCUGUUAUGUCCUUGAAAGUCUCAUCCUUAGACACCACUGAAUUAAACAUAAAUACUAAUAAUCUUUGCAUAACACUUACUGCUAUUUGGAAGAGAAGGGGUAAAGUUCCAGAUCCACAAAAGUAUUUAGGCUCCUAACUUUGAUUGCAAUCAGUGCAUGUUAGGAACCUAAAUACUUUUGUGGAUCUGGGUCCCUGAGUUUGAGGGAAAUCAAAUGCCCUUGUGUAUAAAAGAAUGGACAGGCCUUAUCUUGGACCAAAACAGUCUCAAUUUGCCUAUGUAGAUUAGGCCCAGUUAACUUGCAUUAGAUUGAUGAAAGGAGAAUUCAAAUGCUUAAAACUGUUUAACAUCCAUUUGGAAGAUAAAUGCAAAACCCAUAUUCAGAUAUUUAUAACUGGAAUACCAAGUUCUGGAAUCCCAUAGCUUAUGUAUGCAGUCAUAAACAAGAAUUGCCUGUGAAAAGCUGUAGCUUUGGGAGGAAACAAGGAUCUGAACUGUGAAAAGUAGGGCAUGUCUCAGUUAACACGCUCUGUCUUCCGCUCACUACCCUGUAGGUGGGUAAUGCAACACAAAAGACAAAGGAUAUAACAAGAUCCACUGGUUGGAAGUUGAAGCUAGACAAACAGACUACAUAUUAGGAAAGGUACACAUUUUUAAGUCAGAGUAAGUUACCAGGGGCUGUGAUGGUUUCUCCAUUAUUUAAAACCUGAUUUGUAAGAGCAUCACUAGUUUUCUGAAAGAUGUGCUGGGUAGUUCAACUGUAGCUAUCGGACUUGAAGCAAUAAUUAAUUAAGUGAAGUCUUAUGACUUGUGUUAUGCAGGAGGUCAGACUAGAUGAUCCCAAUGGUGAUUUCUUCUGUCCUUAUAAUCUAUUUGGAGGCUAGGGGAGGCACUCACAGAGCUGCCAUCUAGUGGAAUGCAUCUGACAGGUAACCCAGGGAAUGACACCUGAUUUGACAUUCGACAAGUGAACUGACAUACCUAUCCAUUUUAUUGUUGGAGAGAAGAUUUGGAGACUACACUUCUGGAGGGUGAAUCUAAAGUAUAGCAUGUUCAUAUAGUUGUGAUCAGGUCGAGCUUACAGUACAUUUUCCACACUGUAUGGAAUCUAUCUUGAUAUAUCAUUAAAUGGUAUUAGAUGUUAAACAUUAUACACUUAAGCAAUGGGAAUAUUGUAGUCAUAUCAAACUCCAACAUCUACUUAUUCAAUUACAUCGGAUUUGGAUCAUUCUCCAGGACUUAUAAAGGCAGCAGUUUGGUAUGUGCAUUUCCUCUUAUUUACUUAACAGAUGAAAAAAUAGUUCAGCUCACAGUGAAUGUUUAGAUGACUUGUAUACCACACAAGAUGAACCUUAAAAAUACAGUGAUUACACAGAGCAAUGUGCAUACUGCAAAACAUGAACUUCACAGUGCAAAUCCAAGCAUAUUUAAGACAGCAGAUUUUUUCAGGACAAGAAAAUACAAAUUUAUACUUAGAGUUUAGGAUGAAAGAAGCAGAAAGCCUUACCUGUGUGACUGAAUAAUUUGUCCACUUGUUUGGAAAGUCGGACUUGUUUGAUCACUAAAUGUAAAAUGUUAGAAAAACCAAAUGAUCUGUUUGAAAAUGAAUGGUAUAAGCAAUAGUUGGUGACUAGUUAUAAACAGUGUCCAAAAUUAUGCUCUAAUGCACCAAAUGCAAAAGUACUUCAAAAAGCAGGUAGUCUUACUUCAGUAUCUUGUCAGUGAAAACCAAUUUUGCAAUUUGGAUCUACUUCUUAAUAAAACACCUUGCUUUAGAACUUUACAAUUAUAUCUUCACAGUAAUCUUAAUGAGAGAGGCUUUGGCAUAAUAUCAUUUGGUAGACAAAUCAGACAUUAGAAUUUGACUGUUUAAACUGUGGGCUUCGUUGAGGGUCAGAUUGUAUAUUAAUAAUCAAGGUGAUAAACUGUUUGCUGUUAUGCUGUAAUUAAUCUCUUCUGCCCAUUACAAUGCAAGUUUAUUGUCCCGCUGCAAGACCCAACGUAUUCCUGCAGUCAAUAUCUUCUGAAUUAUUUGCUGGAAUAUAGUUAUUCUAAACAUUUGAAUAUGUCAUUACCUUACUUUUUUAUAACUUUGAACGUAAACUUUCCUGCUUUGGUACUCCAGGAUUCAUUUAAUUAGUUUAAUCAAAUA